rnacentral:rRNA from 1 species
UACGGAGGAUCCGAGCGUUAUCCGGAUUUAUUGGGUUUAAAGGGUGCGCAGGCGGAUAAAUAAGUCAGUGGUGAAAUCCUACGGCUCAACUGUAGAACUGCCAUUGAUACUGUUUAUCUUGAGUAUAGUUGGAGUGGGCGGAAUGUGUCAUGUAGCGGUGAAAUGCUUAGAUAUGACACAGAACACCGAUCGCGAAGGCAGCUUACCAAGCAAUAACUGACGCUCAUGCACGAAAGCGUGGGGAUCAAACAGG